AGGAAGGAGGUAUUCUGAAACCU
rnacentral:siRNA from 1 species